rnacentral:tRNA from 1 species
GCGGGCGUAGCUUAGCGGUCUAAAGCGUCCCCCUGUCACGGGGAAGAUCGCCAGUUCAAAUCUGGUCGCCCGCG